UACUCCCGCCGCCCCCCCCUCCUCCGCCGGCCUGCUCCCCGCCGCCGCCCCCGUCACCUUCCUCGUUCACCCCCAGCCCCCGCAGCCACUGCCUCCCCCCCCUCCCCGUUCGGCCCGCGGGGACUGAGCGGAGGCCGUCCGCACGCAGGCGGGUCUGGUCCACUUGGGGGACGCACGGCCCGCGCCCCGCUCUGCGCUACGAAGAGGCCGGCCCAGGUGACCGCGCGCGUGUCCCCAGGCUCCGGCCGGGAGCCUCGGGCCGAAGGGAGGGCGGGGUGGCAGCGCCGGCGGCCCGGGUCCUCCUGGGGGUGGCGUGCGCGGCUCUCACCUCCACCUUCCCGGGUCCCCUCUGCCUCGCCGUGGAAGGCGCCCCGCGUGGCCUCGGGUCCGGUCGCCUGCCCCGCGCCGUCCCGCGUGUCCCUGCGGGACCCGGAUCCCGGGCGCCUUCCUCGCGGACUGCCAGGAGGGCCCAGAGGUGAGCUUGCUGCCCCGAAGUCCACAGCGGAGACCCGGGGCUCUGGGCGUGAGGACUUUCCGCUUUGGGGAAGGUUUAGACACACGCCGCCCGUGUCCCACCCGCGAAGAUGCCACCCCUCCCCCGAGAGUUUUAUUUGAUUUUAUUUUAAUAAGUUGACUCCUCCGUCGGACGUGUGUCAUAAAGCAUUCUAGAGAAUGACUGUCACCGGACAGACCGCCUCUGGCACGACGCGAAGCCUUGCUGUCACUUGGGGAGGAAGGAGAAGGAGCCAGGCCUCUGGCAGGAACGCAGGCAGCGGCAGAGGUCCAGGGGAGCCCGUCCCAAACCCAGGUGUCGGGCUUGAGAAGAACCCAUCCUCAGUGGCCUGCAGGCUUGUGGCUCCUACCGCCGGUGCCUUUCGAGCGAGUCGGCGUGGACACGAACGUUUCAAGGAGCCGGGGCGUCCUGCGAGGCCGAGCGCAGAGAAAGGCCUGGAGCCGGGCUUGCGCCCGAGGGUCUCUCGGAAGGAGCUGGCGGCGCCGGCCGGGCCGCCUCGCAGCCUCGGUCGGCCCAGGGCUCUCGGGCGGGGCGCGGGGAGGCCGGGGAGCGGCGCGGGCCCGGGAGUCGUGCGCGCGGGCGGCGAGGGGGCGCUGUGGCCCGCGGCUGCGGCCUGGUCCCUGCAGCGGUGGCCCCGGCGCAGUCCCCGGCCACUGAACGGCGGUGGGCGCUCUCGCCCCGGCCCGGCCUACCUCUGCCCGCGUCGCUUUAACUUGGGGAAGAAGGAAAACUAGGCCGGGCGUUUCGAUGAACCGAAGCCGCGCACGAACUUGCUUCACUCUGCCUCACUGCCGGCGCUGGCCGCCGUGAACUGCGCGAAGAGCAAGUCCCAACGAGACGCCAAUCUCUCUCCGGCGCGGGUACCUCCGGGCUCGUCCGACGGGGCUGCAGAUGCGGCGCUCUUCGGAGGUUCUCAAACACGGUUCCGGUGAGACCUGUCCCCGCAGAGCGAGCGCGCGGGAGAACCCUGGCAGGCGGGGGUGGGGGGUUGGGGGGUCCCCUCGCCCCUGGCCUGGAGCUGCCUGCGGCCUCGCGGGAGGAGACCCGAGGGCGCAGCCCCCAGAGGCCGGGGGGCAGCCCGUGGGGUCGGGACCCCAGCACCGAGGGCACCUCUCUGGCUCCCCAGGCACCGGUGUUUGGUUACCGGUUGCUGACUCGAGCGUAGCGACGGCAGACCCCGGUGCCUUCGAGCGGGCAGCCAAGUGUGCGUCCCCCCCGCGGCGCCCGCCUCCGACGCGUCCCCACUUCCGCGCGUCCGGCGGCCUCUGUCCCUGCCCGCCCCCCGCCUCCCCCCGUCCGCGUCCUCCCAGCUCCUCUGCCGCCGCUUCCCCCGCCUCCGGCGCGCAGCCCCUGGGCCCGAAUUCCGUUCCCGGAGACCCGCUUCGGGAGCGGCCCGCGUGGGUCAGCGAUCCGCGCGGGAGGCAGGUGGGCGAGCCCCCCCCCCCGCCCCCCUGGCCUCUCCCCCGCGCGCGCACGCGGACGCGCGCCCGCGCGCCUCCGGGAGGGUCUCCCCGCUCCUGCGCGGACAGAGCGGCGGUCGGGCCGGGGUCUGGCUUCGUUGUGCUCCUGGUUCGCGUUUCGGCUUUUUUUUUUUUUUUUAAGUGUUUCUGCAAGGCAAACAGUGUUCGGGACAACUCAGCUGCCCCCCUCCCUGCCCCGCGGCAGCGCCCCCCGCUCCCCCCCCCAACCCCGGCCUGGCCGUCGCCGCUCGAGCGGGGGGCGCACCUCCGGGGGCCGGCGGCGCGGACCGAGCGGAGCCCGCGGGCGCAGGAGCAGGUAGGACCCCCGCUCGCAGGAAUACGCUGGCGAAGGAGGCUUCUCUUCAGCCGUCUGACGGCUGCUUUAGCGCCUGUCUGGGGCCGUGUUGCAUCGCCUCGGGCUAACUCCUCGUCGGCCGUGUGUACCCCAAAACAGCUCGCCCAGACCGCCGACUCGGGGGCACAGGGCAGGCGCACAGGCCAGCCCGGCCCCUACCAAGCUCUCCCGGAGGCUGUGGCACACCUGGGAUUGCUUAGGUAGGGAGGGCAGGAGGGUUUUGUUUCCUUUUUGUUUUUGAUUUGUUUUGUUUUUCUUUUGAAAAACUGGGGAGCAUGCGGAAGCCAUUUGACAAAUUGCACCAAAACAGUCAUCAUAAAAACUUCAGUUGGGCAGCACAGAAAUGGCCGACCCCCGCCAGGGGGAGGACCCUGGGAGCUUUGCAGAUAGGACAAGCCAUGCUGUGCAGAAUCAGAAAGAAUCCUCGGAGUCCGAGAGUGAAGACGAGCCAUUUGGUGGGAAAAUGGACCCGCGAUAGGAACAGACUGUGCGGAGAGCAGCUACGUGUUUGCAGAAUCUGAAACCUGCUAGGCAAGGCAACUACUCUAUACACGCCGGAAGCGAAUGUAAGACAUCUCGUUUCCCAGACUGGACUUCUCAAUGUUCAGAGGGAGAACACACUCGCUGUCAUCCGGAUUAAUGCUUGAGAAGGUUGGCCUAUCAGAAUGGCGUCUGGACGGCAAAGAGGGACCAAUAUGUCAAUGGAAUCAGCACAUGCAUUUUCGGGCCCGGCUUUGAGGACUCAGAACAGAUUGAUCAUCGUGACUCCUCUUCUGCCCGAGUACAAUCUGGAAAGUUGAUAACCGCUUGCAUUUUACUGAAUCCAUUUCUUAAUUCUUCAAUAUUGACCAAGAAUCCUUGACUCUCAUCAAUUUUCACAUGCCCAGAGAGGUCUCUGGGCUGCCGGAACUCGUGCAGGUAUUUCCCUGAGUGAAAACGAUGUUCUUUGCCAAAUGACUCAGUGGUGAAAAGUCAUUUAUGAGAAUCUCAGGACUCCACUGCCUUGAAGAAAAUAACACAGAACAGACCUGUUCGCAAGAUCCUCUCCUCCCCUCCUAGUGGAGAGAGGCGUGUCGGGUGUUAGCAAAUUUCAGCCGAAAAGGAGCCUGCUAGAGGCCAAGGCUUAGAGGCCGAGCUCUCCGCGUUAAGUGUUUCAGACACUUGAAUUUAACUGUAAUUGUACAGAACCUCCUUAGCCAGUAGAAUUUCCCUAAAAACUGAGCAAAAUGUAAACAGCCGUUUCUUGCUUCAAUGGAAACAGAUAAUACUGGGGUUUACAAAAGUUCAGCAAGCCGUAGCCGCCACUGAGACGGGUCUCUUAGACCCGACUUCUCUUUAUUUCUUUGAACCUCGUCUAUUUUAAGAUCCUACACCCAGGGCUCCAAUGCACACGCCCACACGCACAAGUUCAAGUGGCCACUCUUAAAAACUAAUGGCUAUUGACUCUCGUUGGGAUCUCUGUGAUGUUAUCUCGCCCCGUAAAGAUUUUGCGGUAUGCCGUUUACACUGUAUCUGGUGAUUGUAUAAUCAUUAUUGAUUUUCCUUGUGUGCGGUACCUAUGUCAAACAACCUAAUAUAUUUAAAUGGUGAUUAUUUCAGUUCUCUAUCUGCUAUUAGAUAAGAUCAAAGGUGGUUAAAUGUGCGGUAGAUGGGGGGGAGAGAUAGCGUAACUUACUUGCGCCUCUGUCCCUGCUAUUGUACAACUCAACGACAAUCGAGGGUAUUUAAUAAUUAACUUUCUAAAACGUGUGGAGAUUUUGGGCCUGCGGAAGAAUGAGGCUGUCAGAUGGAGGGAGAGCGUCCCAGACGCGCAGCUAAAGGCGCGCGGCCGCGUGAGUGCCAGCGCUGGGAUGGAUUGCUUUUCAAAGAUCCUGGGAAAUCACUCUGCGUGCUUAAUUUACUCCUUGUUUGGGUACGAAUGCUCCUGAAGACACGAGGGCCCAAUCCGGAGCGCUGGGUAAUUUCCCCCAGGAUGUUGUCACUGCUAAUCCAAGGAGUGGGGUGCACGGGAACCCGGGCCGGGGGGUGAGCGGGCCUCGGCAGGUCAAUCUCAGGGGCGGCAUCCUUACGGGGCUUCAUUAAUCAUGGGCCAGGGCCCUGCUCGUGCCUCUGGGGAGGCUGUCUGCCCGGGCGCAUUUCUCUGAAGGCAAAGCCAGCUGAUUUUGUGGCUCCUUCACAAUUUUCUU